GACGAACGCUGGCGGCGUGCUUAACACAUGCAAGUCGAGCGGUAAGGCCCUUUUGGGGGUACACGAGCGGCGAACGGGUGAGUAACACGUGGGUGACCUGCCCUCAGCUCUGGGAUAAGCCUGGGAAACUGGGUCUAAUACUGGAUAUGACCUUUCCUCGCAUGGGGUUGGGUGGGAAGUUUUUCGGCUGGGGAUGGGCCCGCGGCCUAUCAGCUUGUUGGUGGGGUGAUGGCCUACCAAGGCGACGACGGGUAGCCGGCCUGAGAGGGCGACCGGCCACACUGGGACUGAGACACGGCCCAGACUCCUACGGGAGGCAGCAGUGGGGAAUAUUGCGCAAUGGGCGGAAGCCUGACGCAGCGACGCCGCGUGGGGAUGACGGCC
rnacentral:rRNA from 1 species